UGGGCUUGUACCUUUUUUCACAAAGAGACACUGACGACUUUACCAUCCCAACAAAAUGUAGGUUCAGAAAACACAUAUUCCAGGAAGGUGACCAGUUCAUCUUAUGAAGGGAUCCAAGCCAGAUGGCUGAGUUUUCUAGUUCCAUUCUCAACACUCUCACCAGGGGGAGGCCAGAGGGUAUGGAACACAUUCUGUCCUAAUCCCACUGAGCAUCAGCUUCUAAACUGAAAUGGAAAAAAUGAUACUAAUUUCUCAGGACGGCAGAGGACCAUAGCAAAAGUUGUCCCAUGCAAUGGGCUCCCGGGAUCCUGCAGGAGCUCUAGAAGUAAGAAGCACAGCUUCCGUUCCCAGCUCGGCUGCAGAGGAUCAGGAUGCACCCCACCGAGUUCCAAUUGCAGAGCAUAAUUGGCCAAGAGCACCAGCUGCUUGGCUGGACACCUGUCCCUUCAUUUGAACCAAGGCCACACUCUUCACAGGCGUUUUUCAGCCAAUGGCCAGGCACUUCAAGGCUCCUCAGGAGAUGGGACUCCUCUGAGAGCUGGCUUUGGUCAAGGACUCCAGCAGCCUGCAGAGCCCUCCUUAGACCACACAGCAGCCCAGGACCCUUCCACCAACCUCCAAUUCCUCUUUCCUUUGCUGGGAUCUCACUUGAAUCAUGAGCUGACUGCUGUCAUACCUCUCCACUUUCUUUUACAUAGACAUUUCCUCUAAUAAAAUCUUUGCAAUUUAAGAUCA